rnacentral:rRNA from 1 species
UGGGGAGCUGUAAGUAAGCUUUGAUCCAGAGAUUUCCGAAUGGGGAAACCCAGCAUGAGUUAUGUCAUGUUAUCGAUAUGUGAAUACAUAGCAUAUCAGAAGGCACACCCGGAGAACUGAAACAUCUUAGUACCCGGAGGAAGAAAAAGAAAAUUCGAUUCCCUUAGUAGCGGCGAGCGAAACGGGAAGAGCCCAAACCAACAAGCUUGCUUGUUGGGGUUGUAGGACACUCUAUACGGAGUUACAAAGGACGACAUUAGACGAAUCAUCUGGAAAGAUGAAUCAAAGAAGGUAAUAAUCCUGUAGUCGAAAAUGUUGUCUCUCUUGAGUGGAUCCUGAGUACGACGGAACACGUGAAAUUCCGUCGGAAUCUGGGAGGACCAUCUCCUAAGGCUAAAUACUCUCUAGUGACCGAUAGUGAACCAGUACCGUGAGGGAAAGGUGAAAAGCACCCCGGAAGGGGAGUGAAAUAGAACCUGAAACCGUGUGCUUACAAGUAGUCAGAGCCCGUUAAUGGGUGAUGGCGUGCCUUUUGUAGAAUGAACCGGCGAGUUACGAUUUGAUGCAAGGUUAAGCAGUAAAUGUGGAGCCGUAGCGAAAGCGAGUCUGAAUAGGGCGUUUAGUAUUUGGUCGUAGACCCGAAACCAGGUGAUCUACCCUUGGUCAGGUUGAAGUUCAGGUAACACUGAAUGGAGGACCGAACCGACUUACGUUGAAAAGUGAGCGGAUGAACUGAGGGUAGCGGAGAAAUUCCAAUCGAACCUGGAGAUAGCUGGUUCUCUCCGAAAUAGCUUUAGGGCUAGCCUCAAGUGAUGAUUAUUGGAGGUAGAGCACUGUUUGGACGAGGGGCCCCUCUCGGGUUACCGAAUUCAGACAAACUCCGAAUGCCAAUUAAUUUAACUUGGGAGUCAGAACAUGGGUGAUAAGGUCCGUGUUCGAAAGGGAAACAGCCCAGACCACCAGCUAAGGUCCCAAAAUAUAUGUUAAGUGGAAAAGGAUGUGGCGUUGCCCAGACAACUAGGAUGUUGGCUUAGAAGCAGCCAUCAUUUAAAGAGUGCGUAAUAGCUCACUAGUCGAGUGACACUGCGCCGAAAAUGUACCGGGGCUAAACAUAUUACCGAAGCUGUGGAUUGUCCUUUGGACAAUGGUAGGAGAGCGUUCUAAGGGCGUUGAAGCAUGAUCGUAAGGACAUGUGGAGCGCUUAGAAGUGAGAAUGCCGGUGUGAGUAGCGAAAGACGGGUGAGAAUCCCGUCCACCGAUUGACUAAGGUUUCCAGAGGAAGGCUCGUCCGCUCUGGGUUAGUCGGGUCCUAAGCUGAGGCCGACAGGCGUAGGCGAUGGAUAACAGGUUGAUAUUCCUGUACCACCUAUAAUCGUUUUAAUCGAUGGGGGGACGCAGUAGGAUAGGCGAAGCGUGCGAUUGGAUUGCACGUCUAAGCAGUAAGGCUGAGUAUUAGGCAAAUCCGGUACUCGUUAAGGCUGAGCUGUGAUGGGGAGAAGACAUUGUGUCUUCGAGUCGUUGAUUUCACACUGCCGAGAAAAGCCUCUAGAUAGAAAAUAGGUGCCCGUACCGCAAACCGACACAGGUAGUCAAGAUGAGAAUUCUAAGGUGAGCGAGCGAACUCUCGUUAAGGAACUCGGCAAAAUGACCCCGUAACUUCGGGAGAAGGGGUGCUCUUUAGGGUUAACGCCCAGAAGAGCCGCAGUGAAUAGGCCCAAGCGACUGUUUAUCAAAAACACAGGUCUCUGCUAAACCGUAAGGUGAUGUAUAGGGGCUGACGCCUGCCCGGUGCUGGAAGGUUAAGAGGAGUGGUUAGCUUCUGCGAAGCUACGAAUCGAAGCCCCAGUAAACGGCGGCCGUAACUAUAACGGUCCUAAGGUAGCGAAAUUCCUUGUCGGGUAAGUUCCGACCCGCACGAAAGGCGUAACGAUUUGGGCACUGUCUCAACGAGAGACUCGGUGAAAUCAUAGUACCUGUGAAGAUGCAGGUUACCCGCGACAGGACGGAAAGACCCCGUGGAGCUUUACUGUAGCCUGAUAUUGAAAUUCGGCACAGCUUGUACAGGAUAGGUAGGAGCCUUUGAAACGUGAGCGCUAGCUUACGUGGAGGCGCUGGUGGGAUACUACCCUAGCUGUGUUGGCUUUCUAACCCGCACCACUUAUCGUGGUGGGAGACAGUGUCAGGCGGGCAGUUUGACUGGGGCGGUCG